GUCCCUUCGGGGACAACCAAUAAAAUUGGAAUGAUACAGAGAAGAUUAGCGUGGCCCAUGCGCAUGGAUGACACGCCCAAAUCGAGAAAUGGUCCAAAUUUUU
rfam:Lupinus angustifolius cultivar Tanjil chromosome LG02, whole genome shotgun sequence.